GUGCUCAAUUCAGCAUCACAUAUACUAAACUGGAAUGAUACAGAGAAGAUUAGCACUGGUCCUGGUCAAGGAUGACAUGAAAAUUAAUGAAGCAUUCUAUAUUUUG
ensembl:snRNA U6 U6 spliceosomal RNA